GUGAGGAAUAUUGGUCAAUGGGCGGGAGCCUGAACCAGCCAAGUCGCGUGAAGGAAGAAGGAUCUAUGGUUCGUAAACUUCUUUUGCAGGGGAAUAAAGUGCAGGACGUGUCCUGUUUUGUAUGUACCCUGAGAAUAAGGAUCAGCUAACUCCGUGCCAGCAGCCGCGGUAAUACGGAGGAUCCGAGCGUUAUCCGGAUUUAUUGGGUUUAAAGGGUGCGUAGGUGGUUUGAUAAGUCAGCGGUGAAAGUUUGCAGCUUAACUGUAAAAAUGCCGUUGAAACUGUCGGACUUGAGUGUAAAUGAGGUAGGCGGAAUGCGUGGUGUAGCGGUGAAAUGCAUAGAUAUCACGCAGAACUCCGAUUGCGAAGGCAGCUUACUAAGCUACAACUGACACUGAAGCACGAAAGCGUGGGGAUCAAACAGGAUUAGAUACCCGAGUAGUCC
rnacentral:rRNA from 1 species